GUCAUUCACGACUGUUAUGUAUUUGAACGUCACAUUGGCAUGAAAGAAAAAUGUGCUUUUGAUCAAUUGCCGACGCACACAUUGGAAUGAGAAAGUACCAUAAAAUCACACAAUUUUCGCCACACCAUGACGAUAAGGAACACUCCAUACAAAGCAAAAUCUUGUGGAUGUUUACCGAGAUGAAAAUUUUACAAACAUCUCCAACCUACUAAAAAAUGCUUGACCUGGCUGGCCUGUUUCAAGGUGUUGUUGGAAAUCUGGUCACACUUUUCGAAGGAAAGUUUCCGUCUGCAACUUUGAACUUCAGAUUAUGGAAAAGAAAGCAAAGAAGGGUAAAAUCGAGUUGGUUGUGCUGUUUUUAUUGUAGCUUUCAUAAGCAUCUAGAGAAGUCUGUAAGGCAGGCAAUUGAGUAGUGGCUACCCAGACGAUAAGAGCCUUUGAAUAACCACACAGAUGUUUGUAAAAAGUUGUCUUCUCCGCUUACUCGCAGUGCAUACUCUUGGCCUUGCUUGUUCUGUGUUCAGACGUCAGAGACGUUACGAUGAGGGUAUUUUCUUAAAUUCAUAUUUCAUUUUCUCUUUGAGCAUCAGAGCCAUAAUUUCGAUUUGAAAUGAAAAUAAAAAAUCAAUCUAUUUUUUUCUCUUUCAAUGAGGCAAAUACCUUCGAUGAGAGGAAAAUAUUGUUGUUUUCUAUUGACAAAUAGAGCAUGAGCAACCCUGUUCCAAGGCAGUGCUUCCAGGUUUUGACGCAAGUGCAAGUAAUAGCGCAAACAAUUCUAAGAAAUCAGUAUAAAUCUGAACCAUUGUAGUGGUACAAACCUUUCAAGUCCUACUCAAAGUUCUUUUAAAUUCUCAACAUUUACCUAUAGGAUCAAAGCAAACUGAAUACUCUGUAAUAAACUAGCGUUUGUAAAGACUGUUUCACCCGGCCGAUUACCAGAUUGAAAAAAGUAGCAAGACUGUAGUUGUUGGUUAGUGAGCUGAAAAAGCAGGUUUUGAUUUAGAAUAGAUACGGGUAGGCAUCGGACACCUGGCGGAAAUAUUCGUUAAACAUGACAUUUGUUACAGAUUAUGCAAAAUAGCUGCCAUUGCCUGGUGCUUUCUGAAGUUAUGUUAUUAUCGAACAGGUAAAAGCCAAAGUUUAGCUAAUGUUGAAAUGAUUUGAAUUGAAAAAAAAGACACAAGUAAAAAGCAAAAAAAACGCACUGACAAUCCAAGCCUCUCAUUUCGGACCACUUUGAUUUCAAAAUAAUUGAAGCCACAACAAAUGUGAGGAAUCUACAAACAAAAUCUGAUGACAAAAUGUUGACUGACAAAUCAAUAUCUAGUAUGGACCAAAAAUUAUUGAACUCAUACUUCAACCAUCACGACUCAUCAUCUUUGGAUUGAUCUGAAAAUUCAUUCCGGCACCUGAGCUCAUGCCACUUAAUUUCGAAACUCGUUGAACACAAUAUCUUCCUUCGUCUCAAAGCCGCCAGAGGUCGGGCAUGUUUUCCAUUCGCAUGAACUUUCACAUUCGCCUCAGCCUGUCAGUCUGUCUGUCUGUCAGUCAGUCUUUCGCCAGUCCUUGUAAGUGCUACUGACUGCUCCUUCGUACCUGAUCCAGCUAACUCAGUACGGCCAGUGGCUCCUUUUGGUUGGUCUCAGCCUUCUUUUGUUGGCGUGUUCCGUGGCUUUUCAGUGACCUUGAUCCGGUGGACGGAUCGUUGUGAACUGGCAGGCUUUGGUCCCAUCGAGAAUCUACCUUGUUCCUGCUUUGUUCCAUCCCGACAAGAGGAACAAUCGUCGCUUUCAUCAUGAGCGAGGAAGGCAUGGAGAUCGAAACUCCCGACAUCAAAAGGUAAGCGGAUGUAUUGCGUGAUAUAUUUCUUGGACGAAGAUUCAGAUGGUGUGGUGGUGGGCGUGAUGACGACGUAGUCUGAGUCAUCCCGCUCUGUUGAACGGUUGUACUUCCUCGUGGGCCUGAACCGGCCUGUAAUCAGGCCUGUGGGUUGAGGCUAGACGAGGGCCGAGCACAAAAUCCGUCCCAUGUGUGGCUCGGACAUGGUAUGAAACGUUGGGUUUGGGCCGACGUCUUCAUUUUCCCGACCAAUGCUGUUCCUGGUUUAAUGAGGCUGGAUACGAAGUAAUGUGUUCCUGAAACAAAAUGAUCCAGAGUCAUGGACGGUCUCGACGACUUCUUCCAUUUGAUUGCGGGUUUUCAACCCGAGUGAAAGGGUGAAAUAGUACGAUAUUUGAAUUUGUGUCGGAAUAAGAAUUGGUAAUAGACAACAACAAAGGAUAAUUAAUAUCUGCCUGUAACAGGUAGCUAAAGUUCUCUCUGCAUUUGAUCGGCCACGGGUCAUGAAUUGGAUUCAGAUUUCUCUGGCGGUGGUUCUUAGUGGGACUGACUUCAUUUGAAAAAUGGACUUUCCAGCUCACCAUAAAGCUUCAACACUACUCUCUGUUGCCCUUUUGGUCGAUUAAAAAUCUGCUUGACCUCAUAUGACCAGAUUUUAAAUACUGCUCAAUACUCGCCAGUAGAAUGAAGCAGCCGGUAUUUCGUCUGCAUUGAAUUGAAUAUUCUUCCGCAAGCUUCGAUUUCGAGAAAUGCCAUCACUGGGAACAACAAUGCCACUAUCAAAUUAGCACCCUUCCGUUCAUCCCUGAAUUUUAUUCUGCUUCUUGGCUACCGUUGGUCCAAAUGAUCCUAAAACCAAAAAGAACAGAAAAUUUGCAGCAAUUUAGAAAAAGCAAGUGGAUGGAUUUAGAUUCUUACUCGUGUCUGGUAAAUCUUAUUUCAAAGGGGUUGCAACGACGGGUUAUAGCGUCCAAAAGUCAAGGGGCAAAAUCGAGGUUUGCGGUGACUUUUGGUGUUAUGAGAGCUCUUGCGUUUGUGGAAAGACUCCGCAACACUUACACUCCUGGAUCAAUGCUUUCUAAAUCAUUUAGCCAGUCUUUGCAAGGCGGAUUUUCCUGAUCUCAAAUUCCCAGUUUUAGCGGUCUUAAUCCUGGCGGAAUCCCGACUCCG